rnacentral:pre_miRNA from 1 species
GUUUAUUUUUCAAUUUCAGUGUUCAGCACCAGCGACAGAUGUGUUCACCUGUUUGUGGGUGAUGUUCAGCACCAAGGACAGGUAUGUGUGUAU